GUGGAUAUAGCCUGGACCCCGGGCUCUCCGUGGAUUACUAUCCCUGCGGGGAGGAAGCGCCAGGCGGCGAAGGGACAGAAGACAAAAGCAAGGCUGUCGAGCCGGCGUGACGGUUGAACCCAAACAUGCCACUGCUCCCUAGCAUUUUUCUUGCCAAUGCAAAAUCCCUUGCCAACAAAAUGGAUGAACUGAGGCUCCAGGCGGCAACAAACAGGCUCGUCAAGGACUGUUGUGUUUUGUUGAUCCCCGAGACAUGGCUACAUUCAACUAUACUGAACGAAGCUAUCGAGCUAGCUAGCCGGAAAGAGCAAAGGAGGGGGGUUAUGCAUAUACUGUAUGUUAACAACAGCUGGUGCACUAACUCUAGGAUUAUUGCUCCCCAGUUUUAGAGUACAUUACUGUUAAAUGCACACCCUUUAACCUACUUAGAGAGUUUACUGUCGUCAUGGUAUCCGCUCUGUACAUUCUGUCGGAUGCUAAUGCUAACUUAGCAUUGGGGCUUUUGCCAACAAAACAAAUAUCCUAACGCUGUGUAUAUUAUUGCCGGAGACUUUAACCAUGCCGAGUUAAAAACUGUGCUCCCUAAAUUCUACCAACAUGUACCAAAUGCACCACUAGAGGUGAGAAGACACUGGACAAGGUUUACUCAAAUAUCAAGCAUGGCUACAGGGCUAUACAGCUUCCACACCUGGGCCAGUCGGUCCAUAUGUCCCUGCUCUUAGCACCAGCAUACACCUCCCUCAGGAAACAGGCUCUUACCACAAUAAAAACUAUAAACUUGCCCUGAAGGUGCCUCUCACCAGCUCCAGGACUGUUUUGAAAGAACCAACUGGGACAUUUUUGAACACUCAGACCUGGUGGAGCACACAGCAGCUGUACUGUGCUUCUUUAAACACUGCACAGAGACUGUUACGGUGGACAGAUGUAUCAGGGUUUAUCCCAAUCAGAAACCCUGGAUGACCAGAGAUGUCCAGUACCUGCUGCGGGAGAGAAACACAGCCUUCAGGGAUGCUGUUGGGACACUCGUCUGCUGUGGGAUGAAGGAGAUAAUUCACUUUAGCUGGACUUCUGAUGUACACGCAGUUAGCAGCUGCAUCUUCAGAGACUGACAAGAUGUCAUAGUGAUGAUCGGGUUUUUUUGGCUCCAUCACUGUCACUGAUGAUGAUGGUAUCAGGACCGCCCAUAGAGCAGAUGUUCUUCAGACGAGAACCUCCAAACACCGGCACAGUGGACACGGCAAAAUCC